rnacentral:rRNA from 1 species
CAAUAGCGUAUAUUAAAGUUGUUGCAGUUAAAAAGCUCGUAGUUGAAUUUCUGUCAGGAGUGACCGGGCCUUUGGAUGAACUUCCAUUGUUUUUUGCUCUGUUUGUCAUCUCUAGACAUCAUGAAAUAUUUUUUAAAAAUAUUUCUCUUUUACUGUUAGCAAAAUAGAGUGUUCCAAGCAAAGCGUAGUUUUGAAUACAUUAGAAUGGAAUAAUAAGAUAGGACUUUGGUGCUAUUUUGUUGGUUUGCACACCAAGGUAAUGAUUAAUAGGGACAGUUGGGGGUAUUCGUAUUUAAUUGUCAGAGGUGAAAUUCUUGGAUUUAUGAAAGACGAACUACUGCGAAAGCAUUUACCAAGGAUGUUUUCAUUAA